rnacentral:misc_RNA from 1 species
UGAUGAGCAAAAUGGUCAAAUGCAAUAAAUUGAAAAGCCAAGGGGUAAUAGUUGGGCAUGUAAAAACUGAAUGUUGGAAAAGGGAAAAGCAAGCAAGCUAUGCAAAACAAGAGGAAGAAGAGGAGGUCAAGCUUUUCAUGGCCUUUCAUGAUGGUACAACAGCUUCUGACAACAUUUAGUUAUAGACAGCGGCUACUUUAAUCACAUGACAGGAGUGAGACUCGAAGAUGACAAACAGAUGCAAGUAGAAGGCA